GGGAGAUUCCGGGCAGGCAGCGAGGACUAUAAAGAGUGGGACUCAGGCACGGGCAAGGCAGAAGCCAUAGAGCGAGCCUGGAGCACUGCACACACCGAGACUGCGCUGGCAGCGAAAAGCUGGCCAGCUCUUCCUCUUCCAGUGCAGAUGUGGACGGGGGACAUGGCCCCGCCGUCUGCUUCCAUGGGUAGAGCCCACAGUCCAGCUGUGAGAUGAAGGACUGAGACCUCGCUGUUGCUUCUUCUUUCUCCCAGUUGCACCACUGCCCUCCACCCACUGGAGGAAGCCGCAGCAUGGAGGGGGAGCAGCCUUAGCUCUGCUCGGAAAGGAAGCAGGAGGGAGACAGCAGGAGGUCAGCGAGAGUUGGCAGCAACAUUAUCUGCUUUCCAGCUGGGGUGGGACACUUCUGCUGGCAAAGAGGAGCUCUGCCAUCCCUCUUCUCACAGGAGUGUUUCAUGGUUGGGAGGUACCAAAUAACUCCCGUAAAAUGCUGUCCCAGGUACACUCUGCUUCAUGCUGCCGAUGGGACAGGAAUUUUGGUAUUUCUCCAACAAGGUUACUGCCUGUCUUGUCCAAAACAACAAAAUAAAUAAAGCCAUGUCUA